rnacentral:rRNA from 1 species
GACGAACGCUGGCGGCGUGCUUAACACAUGCGAGUCGAACGAAGUGGCGAUCGGGUGAGUAAUACGUGGGUAACCUGCCCUCCUUUUUGGGCUACGCCUUGGUAACGGGGUCUAAUACCGAAUAACGGGGGAUGGGAUCGGGGCCUUUCAGCUUGUUGGUGGGGUGAUGGCCUACCAAGGCGGUGACGGGUAGCAGGCCUGAGAGGGUGACAUGCGACGUAGAGACGGACAAACGUCCCAUAGGCGUACGGAGGGCGGCAGUGGUGGAUAUUGCGGAAUGGGCGAAAGCCUGAUGCAGCGACGCCGCUUGAGGGAUGAAGGCUUUCGGGUUCUAAACCUCUUGCGCUAUCGAACGGGUAGGUAGAGAAGAAGCGCCGGCUAACUACGUGCCAGCAGCCGCGGUAAUAC